CAGGACAGGGCACCUCUGUGUGGUUUUGAAGCUUCCACUCACCUCUCCUCAGACACAUUCCUCUUCUGAGGAAAAUGAGCUGCGUAGAACUAGGAGGCCUGGACAGUUUCCAAACACCAACUCUGAAACUGUGUUACUUUGUCCUUGGAAGAGGGUGGCUGGGGCAGCUCCAGAGGAGAGGGCACAAAGGAGCCUGAUACUGCAUGGAGGGGCCUGGGCUUUAUAGAACCCUGUGCAUUGAGCAUUGCCAGUUACCCCUCCUCCUACUCUUUGGAAAAGUCUAAGAAAGCUUGUGUCUGGGAUUUGGGAACAAUGUGUGUGAACGAGGGCGAGUUUUGAGAAGAGAAAUAGAGAAAAACAAGACAUCAACUUGGGCCCUGGAAGCAGCCAACAGUAGUGACUAUGCAUCUCUCGGAUGCUAGCAGGCCAAGUCACCCACCCCUGGAAAGGAUGCCAGGCAAGAUUGAUGGGCAUAACCUGGAGAAGGGCAAGCAGAGCCUGGGGACUCUCCAUGGAUAAGCCACCAGCCAACAAGCCCGGGCUUGCCACAUACUCAGCCUUCUGUGUUGACAAUCACAUGAGAAUGAGUCACCAGUUUUCCCAGAAGCAGGAGAGGGGUGCGGCGGAGCCCCGCCCUGCCUGCAAAUGCCAUCUUGCAGAGGCAGGGGAAAAUUUCUAUCUGGAUUCCUCCCUUGUCGUCAAGGGAGCCUGUUGUCACAGGGUGGUUUGUUUGGGGUGUGGGCGGUUGGCCUGGGAGGAGACUUCCUGGCAGUAAUUCUGCCCGAUGAGACGCUUUCUACCACCUACCCCAGGGGCGGGCCUUGAACCAAUAGGUGCCCCAUGGGGGUCUUCUCGGCCUCCUCCUCACCCUGGCCCCAUAUGGUAAUGGAAGGCCGAUUAUUCUUUUCAAAACCCUCACAAAAUCCUUAGCCCUGCCAGCCUUUUGACCAGGUUGCUUUUGGCAGGCUGGCAUCCAUGCCUUGUAGGCAGUCAGCCCGAUACCUCCAGAAGCCACUAGACCCACUCCUUGGGGCCCAUCACAAGCCACAAGCUGUCCCGGACCAGUGCUGAGGUUUUUGGUUUGUUUGUUUGAAUCACUUUUCUCCCCCCACUCCUCACCCCAAAAGCAAAGUGAGUUUUAAACCUACACCUAUCUGGUCUCGGGCCCUACAAUUGCCCAUAUUGUUUUCCGCAUAAACUUUUGCCAUUAAUACGCCACUCACUCAUCUCGCUAAA